rnacentral:sRNA from 1 species
UUUGGCCUGAUUAACAGACCUACUUUAUGUACGACAUCUUGAGUUAAUGAGUUAUGUGUAAGUGCUAUCUCCGGUAGCCUUUGUUGACCGUUUCCUUCUUAGUGCCUCCAUAAGUAAUACUGAUACUGGCCAACACAUACAUGCCCGAGGUGGCGAGUUUUUUUUGAUAUAUAGGAAAGUCAAAUGACUGACAAAAUGAAAGGUCAAGUGAAGUGGUUCAACGAGUCUAAAGGCUUUGGUUUCAUCACUCCAGCUGAUGGUAGCAAAGACGUAUUCGUACAUUUCUCUGCCAUUCAAGGUAACGGUUUCAAAACUCUGGCAGAAGGCCAGAACGUAGAAUUCACCAUUGAAAAUGGUGCCAAAGGCCCAGCAGCAGCUAACGUAUCUGCUAUCUAAUUUAGCCUUUAUGCCUUAUUUAAGCUCGCCAGGUAAAAAUGCCGUGGCGGGCUUU